AACGCACAUUGCGCCCACUAGUAUUCUGGUGGGCAUGCCUGUUCGAGCGUCAUUUCAACCCUUAAGCCCCUGUUGCUUAGCGUUAGGAGCCUACCGGAACUCUCUGGUAGCUCCCCAAAGUCAGUGGCGGAGCCGGUUCGCACUCCAGACGUAGUAGCUUUUACACGUCGCCUGUAGCGCGGGCCGGUCCCCUGCCGUAAAACACCCCAAUUUUUAUAGGUUGACCUCGGAUCAGGUAGGAAUACCCGCUGAACUUAA
rnacentral:misc_RNA from 1 species